rnacentral:rRNA from 1 species
GAGUUUGAUCCUGGCUCAGGAUGAACGCUGGCGGCGUGCCUAACACAUGCAAGUCGAACGAAGCGAUUUUUAUGAAGUUUUCGGAUGGAAUAGAGAUUGACUGAGUGGCGGACGGGUGAGUAACGCGUGGGUAACCUGCCUCACACUGGGGGACAACAGUUAGAAAUGACUGCUAAUACCGCAUAAGCGCACGGUACCGCAUGGUACAGUGUGAAAAACUCCGGUGGUGUGAGAUGGACCCCGCGUCUGAUUAGAUAGUUGGUGGGGUAACGGCCUACCAAGUCAACGAUCAGUAGCCGACCUGAGA